rnacentral:rRNA from 1 species
AUUGAACGCUGGCGGCAUGCCUUACACAUGCAAGUCGAACGGCAGCACGGGAGCAAUCCUGGUGGCGAGUGGCGAACGGGUGAGUAAUAUAUCGGAACGUGCCCAGUCCUGGGGGAUAACGUAGCGAAAGCUACGCUAAUACCGCAUACGAUCUAUGGAUGAAAGCGGGGGAUCGCAAGACCUCGCGCGAUUGGAGCGGCCGAUAUCAGAUUAGGUAGUUGGUGAGGUAAAGGGCUCACCAAGCCGACGAUCUGUAGCUGGUCUGAGAGGACGACCAGCCACACUGGGACUGAGACAC